rnacentral:rRNA from 1 species
GUGCACCAGUCGCGAAUCCUCCUCAAUGCACUCACGUGCGAAGGGGUUACCUCGAGUGCCGCCUGAAGAAGGCGGCUUUUCCAUGGUCUAAAAGCCUAGGGAAUAAGAGGGGGCAAGACUGGUGUCAGCCGCCGCGGUAACACCAGCCCCUCGAGUGGUGGGGAUGAUUAUUUGGCCUAAAGCGUCCGUAGCCGGCCGGGUAAGUCUCCCGUUAAAUCCAGCGUCUCAAGCGUUGGACUGCGGGAGAUACUGUCUGGCUAGAGAGGUGGGAGAGGUGUACGGUAUUCGU